GACGUAGGAUGCAAGCGUUGUCCGGAAUUAUUGGGCGUAAAGAGUUCGUAGGUGGUUACUUAAGUCUGGUGUUAAAGCCCGAAGCUCAACUUCGGCAUGGCAUUGGAAACUGGGUAGCUAGAGUGUGGUAGAGGUAUCGGGAAUUCCUGGUGUAGCGGUGAAAUGCGUAGAUAUCAGGAGGAACACCGGCGGCGAAAGCGCGAUACUGGGCCAUAACUGACGCUGAGGAACGAAAGCCAGGGGAGCGAAAGGG
rnacentral:rRNA from 1 species